GACGAACGCUGGCGGCGUGCUUAACACAUGCAAGUCGAACGGAAAGGCCCUGCUUUUGUGGGGUGCUCGAGUGGCGAACGGGUGAGUAACACGUGAGUAACCUGCCCUUGACUUUGGGAUAACUUCAGGAAACUGGGGCUAAUACCGGAUAGGAGCUCCUGCUGCAUGGUGGGGGUUGGAAAGUUUCGGCGGUUGGGGAUGGACUCGCGGCUUAUCAGCUUGUUGGGGGGGUAGUGGCUUACCAAGGCUUUGACGGGUAGCCGGCCUGGGCGGGUGACCGGCCACAUUGGGACUGGGAUACGGCCCAGACUCCUACGGGAGGCAGCAGUGGGGAAUAUUGCACAAUGGGCGGAAGCCUGAUGCAGCAACGCCGCGUGCGGGAUGACGGCCUUCGGGUUGUAAACCGCUUUCGCCUGUGACGAAGCGUGAGUGACGGUAAUGGGUAAAGAAGCACCGGCUAACUACGUG
rnacentral:rRNA from 1 species